rnacentral:rRNA from 1 species
ACUAGAGUAGCACUCGCAUAUCAAUAAGCGGAGGAAAAGAAACUAACAAGGACUCCCCUAGUAACGGCGAGUGAAGCGGGAAGAGCUCAAAUUUGAAAUCUUAAAGGGUUUCCCUUUACGAAUUGUAGUUUAAAGAAGUGUUUUCUGUUGAGGUUUUGGUAAAAGUUCUUUGGAAUAGGACAUCAUAGAGGGUGAGAAUCCCGUAUUUGACCUUUACUUUCAACUUUGUGAUACACUUUCAAAGAGUCGGAUUGUUUGGGAAUGCAGUCCAAGAUGGGUGGUAAAUUUCAUCUAAAGCUAAAUAUUGGCGAGAGACCGAUAGCGAACAAGUACCGUGAGGGAAAGAUGAAAAGAACUUUGAAAAGAGAGUUAAACAGUACGUGAAAUUGUCAAAAGGGAAGCGUUUGACACCAGUGUUGUUUUUCUGAAAAUCAAUUAAAGAACUGUUUAUGCUAAGUUGUUUAGACUUUAUCAGCUAACUGUUUAGUUUUGAGCUUUUCUUUAAUGCACUUUUCAGUUAACAAGUCAACAUCAAUUUCUUUUGCUGUAAAAAAGCUUGAGGAAGGUGGCUUGAGAUUCGUCUUAAGUGUUUAUAGCCUCUUGCCUAUGCAGUCGGAGAGAUUGAGGUCUGCAGCGUAGAUCCUUCGGGGCUAAAUGCAUUUGUGCUAAGUUAUAGCAUUUUAUAGACAACUUGUUGACUAUGAUUUGUCUUGUAGCUUACUCGCUUAUGUUAUUUUACCUACGCUUAGGAUGUUGAGCGCAUGUCUCUCUCU